UGGCGAACGGGUGAGUAACACGUAGGUAACCUGCCCAGAUCACGGGGAUAACGGUUGGAAACGACAGCUAAGACCGGAUAGGUGGUGACGAGGCAUCUUGUCAUCAUGAAAAGAGCUGAAAGGCUCUGGAGCUGGAUGGACCUGCGGCGCAUUAGCUAGUUGGUGAGGGUAACGGCCCACCAAGGCGAUGAUGCGUAGCCGGCCUGAGAGGGUGCACGGCCACAUUGGGACUGAGACACGGCCCAAACUCC
rnacentral:rRNA from 1 species